AAGGUUCUGCUGGUCCCAGUGAUGUCACAUACGCUGAUGUGCACAUCAAGAUGAAUCCUCUGAACAGUACAGAUCACCAUAAUGUUGCAGAUGCAGGAUCUGGCGAUGCAACCUAUGCACAAGUUAGGAAGAAAGGCAAGAAGCCUGACACCCAAGAUGUCUGAGUCAUGGACAAGUGAGACCAGUACAUUGCCCAUGCCUGCAUACUCUGUACUGUAAUUUUGUGUAACAAAGAGAUAUUAUAGUUAGCCAGAUGAGAUUUGGACUGGAAUUAUGGAUUCGGUUAUGGACUAGUUGUGCCAGUAAAACGACCAGUCAUUGCUUGACUUUGCUACUGUGUGUUUUUGAUGCUUUGGUACUGAUUACAUAAUGUGCCUAUAUUUUUUAGGCAAUACAAAGGUGUGAUCACGCCACAUUUCAGUUUUGUUGUCAUUACAGUAUAGUGUUUAUUGUUGUAGGGGUUUUCUUUUUCACUUUGACACUUUUGUCUUAAAGGGACACAAUGUAGGAUUACGUGCCCAUGUCAUGCUGUUAUGA